ACGUAGGGUGCGAGCGUUAAUCGGAAUUACUGGGCGUAAAGGGUGUGUAGGCGGAUAUUUAAGUUAGAUGUGAAAAGCCUGAGCUUAACUUAGGUCGUGCAUUUAAGACUGGAUGUCUAGAGUUUGUGAGAGGGGAGCAGAAUUCCAAGUGUAGCAGUGAAAUGCGUAGAGAUUUGGAGGAAUACCAAUGGCGUAGGCAGCUCCCUGGCAUAGAACUGACGCUGAAACACGAAAGCGUGGGUAGCAAACAGGAUUAGAUACCCUGGUAGUCCACGCCCUAAACGAUGUCUACUUGCUGUAGGUACUGUAAAGUAUAUGUAGCGAAGCUAACGCGAGAAGUAGACCGCCUGGGGAGUACGGUCGCAAGAUUA
rnacentral:rRNA from 1 species